rnacentral:misc_RNA from 1 species
CGUAGGGCAAUAUAAUUGUCAGGAGAAGCUACAAUGUAUACUCCAAGGUACUAACAUUUGACACUACAGUCCCUGCUAUAGUUUAGUAUGUUCUUCGUAUAUGCUUUAUGCAACUUUCUUAUGUUCUAACUGCACAACCUUACUAUUCCAAAUGUCUGAUCAGUUUUAAAACACACGUGUCCUUACAUACUUUAACAUGAGACUGCAGUGAAAAAUUCAGUGACCUUGAAUAGUGAACUAUACUUGACUUUCGAGCAACAGAAUGUAUUGUCAACACCGACAGGGCAAGAGAAAAUAUAAGUUGCUGGAAAGGCCACGCAAAUUGAUGCUUCCAUACCGGCUUGAGUACACCUUUCUGAAGAAAUUGCAGUUGAUUGGUAACACGCCCUGGGCGAUUAGGUGGAGGCACAACAGGUGGUUGGACUACACCAUUCACAGGUUCCACGGGUGGUUCAUCACGUGGAGGUGGCUCCUUUGCCGGGGUUGCUGGUGUAGUCGUUGUCUUACCAGGUGCACUUGUCUGCAUUAUCCAGUUAAUACAUAUGUGUUUUAUGUCGAUGUUACUUUAUUUCAUUAGUUAGCUCUAUAACUACUAUUGUUAUGUAAUAUUAAAUCCAUGAAUAAAAAUAAAAUUCUCCCGCAAAGCACAAAUUAGACCACUACUUCUUUUUCAUAUAAAAUCAAUCUAUUUAGUAAUUAAAAUUGCAAAUAAUAUUGCUAUAUAGAUCAUGCUUUGGUAUUCUAUUACUUUUAUUUUUAUAAAACCUUUAAUCUUAUUAGAUAAGAAUAGAGGUUAUUGUUUUUAAUAAGAUAGUCCCUCAAAGUUCUAGUAAAAACUGCUUAACACACAACAAAGUUA